AAGAGAUAACCGAGUUAGCAGGGAAAGAAGCAGAGGCAAAAAAAGUCGUGAAUGAAAUUUUUUUAAAAGAAAAUACGUGUUACGACCAUCCUUUCCACUUUCACCUUGCUCCCGUUUUCUUUAAACAUACCGUUUACCAGAACAAGCCAAAAAGAA
rnacentral:ribozyme from 1 species